AGUGAACGCUGGCGGUAGGCCUAACACAUGCAAGUCGAACGGCAGCACAGUAAGAGCUUGCUCUUACGGGUGGCGAGUGGCGGACGGGUGAGGAAUACAUCGGAAUCUACUUUUUCGUGGGGGAUAACGUAGGGAAACUUACGCUAAUACCGCAUACGACCUACGGGUGAAAGCAGGGGAUCUUCGGACCUUGCGCGAUUGAAUGAGCCGAUGUCGGAUUAGCUAGUUGGCGGGGUAAAGGCCCACCAAGGCGACGAUCCGUAGCUGGUCUGAGAGGAUGAUCAGCCACACUGGAACUUAGACACGGUCCAGACUCCUAAGGGAGGCAGCAGUGGGGAAUAUUGGACAAUGGGCGCAAGCCUGAUCCAGCCAUACCGCGUGGGUGAAGAAGGCCUUCGGGUUGUAAAGCCCUUUUGUUGGGAAAGAAAAGCAGCAGGUUAAUACCCCGCUGUUCUGACGGUACCCAAAGAAUAAGCACCGGCUAACUUCGUG
rnacentral:rRNA from 1 species